UAGUGCAAGCAGCUUGCUUCUAAUUAAAUAUGCGACUGAGUCUCAAAGCAUUUGCUUUCAGCCGCAGAGAGAAGAAGCUGCCCAAGAAUGGAAAGGAAGAAAUAUAUCUCACAUCAUCUGUCUGUCCAGAGCAUUUCCUUUGGGUUUAUGGAGCUUAUUCUUUGGCAACUUACCUUCUUUGGCAAUCAAAGAACAGCCUGGACAUCAUUACAGAUAGCCCUGGAUAUGGUUCYCAUUGGUGUCCAUCCAUCAAGCUAUAUGGAUUAAAUGGUCCAUCAAUGCAACAUGUUCAAGAGAUGAUCCUAUGGCUUGUUUCUACCAUUGAAGCCCAGCGUGCACUAUAAUACAUGCAAGAAGGAUAAGCUUGGAGUGCCCAGUCGCCGGGGUAACUGCCAGAAAAAUUCUCCAGAAGUUUGAAGAGGUCAGCUAACAGGGUCAACAACUCUGGCCUCUUUCUGAAGUGGGGCGGGCAGGCCCCCUCCCGCUGGCCGGGUGCUCAGCAAGGACUAACCCUGGGAGGGGGGGCAUUCCAGCUCUGAUAUAAAUUUUUUGAGUCAGUUCACGGCCUGGAAUCUCCAGGUGGCCUCCAAAAUCGAUGGUGACCCCUUGACCCUGUCUAACGUCGGCAUCGCAUCCAACCUAAGGAAGGAUUUAGGCAGGAAUGACAGCUUUCCGCUGAGUGUUAUUGGGGACAGUACAAACAAUUCGGGAAGCAAGGAGGUAGGUAUGAGGGGACCAGGUCAUUAAAAGCAUAUUAAAAAACAAUUGCAGCGGGUGGAGUGGGAGAAGAAGGCAAAGGAACACUCUGUGCCCUCUGAUCGUCCUUUGAUAGUUAGCAUUUCUUGUUUGUAUUUUGUCAACCUUUACAAAGAGUUAUUUCCCUCUGCGAAGGACUGAAGAUUUCCAUCUUUGGAUCUUGAUUUUAAUAUUUUGAAUGUUCCGAUACUCAGAAUAGAAAGUGAACUUUUUUAUAUACCCUAAGCCAAAAUUCAUUUUGCUUCCAAAUAUAAAUAUCAGGUAGGUAAAUCACACAAAUACAUUCCCGUUUUCUAAAUAUGCCAUUUUCCUUCAUAGAUAUAUUGCUAGAAUUAUCAAAAGUGUACGUCUCUAUAUAAUGUA